UCACGUGAUGACAAAGAGCUUUCACGCUCGAUCUAAUCCCAGCUCUUCGAAGGCCUCAACACAACGCAGAGGCUGUCAUGAGAAGAAAUCCUCGUCUGAUCC
rnacentral:snoRNA from 1 species